rnacentral:piRNA from 1 species
UCAGUUGUAAAACAAGGGCGGUUGUGAG